ACUCCUACGGGAGGCAGCAGUGGGGAAUAUUGCACAAUGGGGGAAACCCUGAUGCAGCCAUGCCGCGUGUGUGAAGAAGGCCUUCGGGUUGUAAAGUACUUUCAGCAGUGAGGAAGGCGGAGUCGUUAAUAGCGGCCUCGUUUGACGUUAGCUGCAGAAGAAGCACCGGCUAACUCCGUGCCAGCAGCCGCGGUAAUACGGAGGGUGCGAGCGUUAAUCGGAAUUACUGGGCGUAAAGCGCAUGCAGGUGGUUUGUUAAGUCAGAUGUGAAAGCCCCGGGGCUCAACCUCGGAAUUGCAUUUGAAACUGGCAGGCUAGAGUACUGUAGAGGGGGUAGAAUUUCAGGUGUAGCGGUGAAAUGCGUAGAGAUCUGAAGGAAUACCGGUGGCGAAGGCGGCCCCCUGGACAGAUACUGACACUCAGAUGCGAAAGCGUGGGGAGCAAACAGGAUUAGAUACCCUGGGGG
rnacentral:rRNA from 1 species